AACAGGAUUAGAUACCCGGGUAGUCCUAGCCCUAAACCAUGGAUGCUUGGUGUAGCCGGUACCCAAUCCGGCUGUGCCGUAGCUAACGCGAUAAGCAUCCCGCCUGGGGAGUACGGUCACAAGGCUGAAACUCAAAGGAAUUGACGGGGGCCCGCACAAGCGGUGGAGCAUGUGGUUCAAUUCGACGCAACGCAAAGAACCUUACCUGGGCUCGAAGCGCAGUGGAAUCCGGUGGAAACAUCGGCGCCCCUUAAAAGGCUGCUGCGGAGGUGCUGCAUGGCUGUCGUCAGCUCGUGUCGUGAGAUGUUGGGUUAAGUCCCGCAACGAGCGCAACCCUUAUCGUUAGUUGCCAACGGGUCAAGCCGGGAACUCUAGCGAAACCGCGCAGGAUAACUGCGAGGAAGGUGGGGAUGACGUCAAGUCCUCAUGGCCUUUAUGUCCAGGGCUACACACGUGCUACAAUGGUCGGUACAAACCGUCGCAAACCCGCGAGGGGGAGCUAAUCGGAAAGAGCCGACCUCAGUUCGGAUUGGAGUCUGCAACCCGACUCCAUGAAGCUGGAAUCGCUAGUAAUCGCAGAUCAGAACGCUGCGGUGAAUACGUUCCCGGGCCUUGUACACACCGCCCGUCACAUCACGAAAGUGGACUGCACUAGAAGCCGGUGAGCAAACCGCAAGGAUGCAGCCGUCCAAGGUAUGGUUCAUGAUUGGGGUGAAGUCGUAACAAGGUAACC
rnacentral:rRNA from 1 species